rnacentral:misc_RNA from 1 species
GAUGAAGAACGUAGCGAAAUGCGAUAAGUAAUGUGAAUUGCAGAAUUCAGUGAAUCAUCGAAUCUUCGAACGCACAUUGCGCCCCCUGGUAUUCCGGGGGGCAUGCCUGUUCGAGCGUCAUUUCAACCCUCAAGCUCUGCUUGGUAUUGAGUCCAUGUCAGCAAUGGCAGGCUCCAAAAUCAGUGGCGGCGCCGCUGGGUCCUGAACGUAGUAAUAUCUCUCGUUACAGGUGCUCGGCGUGCUUCUGCCAAAACCCCAAUUUUUCUAUGGUUGACCUCGGAUCAGGUAGGGAUACCCGCUGAACUUAAGCAUAUCAUAAGCGGAGGA